AUUGAACGCUGGCGGCAGGCCUAACACAUGCAAGUCGAACGAGUGGCGGACGGGUGAGUAAUAUCUCGGAAAGUGCCCAAUGGCGGGGGAUAACUACUCGAAAGGGUAGCUAAUACCGCAUACCAUCAGAGGUGCCCAGAUGGGAUUAGCUAGUUGGUGGGGUAACGGCUCACCAAGGCAACGCUCCCUAGCUGGUCUGAGAGGAUGACCAGCAACACGGGAACUGAGACACGGUCCAGACUCCUACGGGAGGCAGCAGUGGGGAAUAUUGGACAAUGGGCGAAACCCUGAUUCAGCCAUGCCGCGUGUAUGAAGAAGGCCUUCGGGUUGUAAAGUACUUUCGGCGGGGAGGCGGUACCCGCAGAAGAAGCACCGGCUAACUCCGUGCCAGCAGCCGCGGUAAUAC
rnacentral:rRNA from 1 species